rnacentral:lncRNA from 1 species
UCAGUCAUGGACCAGGUCCAUCAUGUGAGACACAGUAUUUAUCAACCUAUAAAUGUGAGAUGCACAUGAAGAAGAUAAGUCUCAAGGAUCAAGCAGCAGUUAAAGGAUAAUGUUGGAGUUUGUAUUGUUCUAGGACUCAAAUUUGAUGGAAGAUCAAUAAUUGAGUCUCAAUUAAACUCUGAUUACUAACUCAUUAAAUAACAGUGAAUGUUCUCUUUAAUAGGUAUUACACAUACGCAGAAGUUAAACUAAAUUGAGAGCAAAAGAGCAAGGCACUUCUGCAAGCAAUUUAAGUGAUA